UACGUAGGGUGCAAGCGUUAAUCGGAAUUACUGGGCGUAAAGCGUGCCGCAGGCGGUUUGCUAAGAGAGAUGUGAAAUCCCCGGGCUUAACCUGGGAACUGCGUUUCUAACUGGCAGGCUUGAGUGUGGCAGAGGGGGGUGGAAUUCCACGUGUAGCAGUGAAAUGCGUAGAGAUGUGGAGGAACACCGAUGGCGAAGGCAGCCCCCUGGGCUAACACUGACGCUCAUGCACGAAAGCGUGGGAGCAAACAGG
rnacentral:rRNA from 1 species